rnacentral:rRNA from 1 species
UACGGGGGGGGCAAGCGUUGUUCGGAAUUACUGGGCGUAAAGGGUUUGUAGGUGGCUUGUUAAGUCAGACGUGAAAUCCCUCAGCUUAACUGGGGAACUGCGUCUGAUACUGGAAGGCUCGAGUUCGGGAGAGGAAUGUGGAAUUCCAGGUGUAGCGGUGAAAUGCGUAGAUAUCGUGUGGAACGCCAAUGGUGAAAACAGGUAACUGGGAGUGUGCCGACGCUGAGACACGAAAGCCAGGGGAGCGAACGGG